rnacentral:rRNA from 1 species
GACGAACGCUGGCGGCGUGCCUAAUACAUGCAAGUAGAACGCUGAAGGAGGAGCUUGCUCUUCUGGAUGAGUUGCGAACGGGUGAGUAACGCGUAGGUAACCUGCCUGGUAGCGGGGGAUAACUAUUGGAAACGAUAGCUAAUACCGCAUAAGAGUAGAUGUUGCAUGACAUUUGCUUAAAAGGUGCAAUUGCAUCACUACCAGAUGGACCUGCGUUGUAUUAGCUAGUUGGUGGUGUAACGGCUCACCAAGGCGACGAUACAUAGCCGACCUGAGAGGGUGAUCGGCCACACUGGGACUGAGAAACGGCCCAGACUCCUACGGGAGGCAGCAGUAGGGAAUCUUCGGCAAUGGACGGAAGUCUGACCGAGCAACGCCGCGGGAGGGAAGAAGGGUUUCGGAUCGGAAAGCUCUGUUGUAAGAGAAGAACGAGUGUGAGAGUGGAAAGUUCACACUGUGACGGUAUCUUACCAGAAAGGGACGGCUAACUACGUG